UGUCGCAGAAGAGGUGCGAUAGCUAGGUAGUAAACGUGAGGCCGACGACAGCCUUUGAUCGUUUAUGAGGGAGACUAUCGCCGAGGAAGUGCAUUGUGCGUCGCAAUGGCUUUCGGUUCUUGAGGCUGAAUCCUCGGAACUGUCACCUGUAGGGGUGGAGGGCUUCUGGCAAU
rnacentral:ncRNA from 1 species